rnacentral:rRNA from 1 species
AUUGAACGCUGGCGGAAUGCUUUACACAUGCAAGUCGAACGGCAGCACGGGGGCAGCCCUGGUGGCGAGUGGCGAACGGGUGAGUAAUACAUCGGAACGUGCCCGGUCGUGGGGGAUAACGUAGCGAAAGUUACGCUAAUACCGCAUACGAUCUGAGGAUGUAAGCGGGGGACCUUCGGGCCUCGCGCGAUCGGAGCGGCCGAUGUCAGAUUAGGUAGUUGGUGGGGUAAAGGCCUACCAAGCCGACGAUCUGUAGCUGGUCUGAGAGGACGACCAGCCACACUGGGACUGAGACACGGCCCAGACUCCUACGGGAGGCAGCAGUGGGGAAUUUUGGACAAUGGGCGCAAGCCUGAUCCAGCCAUUCCGCGUGCAGGACGAAGGCCUUCGGGUUGUAAACUGCUUUUGUACGGAACGAAAAGGCUCUGGCUAAUACCUGGGGCUCAUGACGGUACCGUAAGAAUAAGCACCGGCUAACUACGUG